AUGAAAUUUGGUUCAGUAAUUCAAUGCUUAGACAUACAAGAUGCUAUACUAGAGCUCAGGAUAAAAAAGUUUGGUCACUUUGUUUCAUUCUAUAAUGCCCGCCGCAGUACUGCAUUAGCACUAUCUUCAAAGAUGCGUUCCCAGAUGUUGUUAGGGAUUUCUUCUGGGGAUGAUGACUUAUGGAUCAAGAACACUUGCGACGAUAUGCUUCUGCAGCGUGAGACAUUGAAUGUGUGCAUAAAGACUAGAACGAUAGUUGUUUGCUGGGUCAGGAAGGUGAGGUAUCUGCGUGAUAUCCCUCGCAAUCUUUGUGAAAAAGCAUGA
rnacentral:rRNA from 1 species